UACGUAGGGGGCAAGCGUUGUCCGGAUUUAUUGGGCGUAAAGAGCGUGUAGGCGGCCAAACAGGUCAGCUGUGAAAACUCGAGGCUCAACCUCGAGACGUCGGUUGAAACCGUUUGGCUAGAGUCCGGAAGAGGAGAGUGGAAUUCCCGGUGUAGCGGUGAAAUGCGCAGAUAUCGGGAAGAACACCCGUGGCGAAGGCGGCUCUCUGGGACGUUACUGACGCUGAGACGCGAAAGCGUGGGGAGCGAACAGG
rnacentral:rRNA from 1 species